rnacentral:rRNA from 1 species
GUUUGAUCCUGGCUCAGAAUGAACGUUGGCGGCGUGGAUUAGGCAUGCAAGUCGAGCGAUAACCGGCCUUCGGGCCGGGGACAGCGGCGAAAGGGACAGUAAUGUGUAGAUCAUCUACCCCGAGGUCCGGGAUAGCUGCGGGAAACUGCAGGUAAUACCGGAUAAUAUCUCCGGAUCAAAGGUGUGAUUCCACCUCGGGAUGAGUCUGCAUCCUAUUAGCUUGUUGGUGGGGUAACGGCCUACCAAGGCAAUGAUGGGUAGCGGGUGUGAGAGCACGACCCGCGUCACUGGGACUGAGACACUGCCCAGACACCUACGGGUGGCUGCAGUCGAGAAUCUUCGGCAAUGGGCGCAAGCCUGACCGAGCGACGCCGCGUGCGGGAUGAAGGCCUUCGGGUUGUAAACCGCUGUCAGAGGGGAGGAAAUGCACGAGGGUAAUCUCUCGUGUUUGACCUAUCCUCAGAGGAAGUACGGGCUAAGUUCGUGCCAGCAGCCGCGGUAAGACGAACCGUACGAACGUUAUUCGGAAUCACUGGGCUUAAAGGGUGCGUAGGCGGCGCAGUAAGUAGGGUGUGAAAUCCCUCGGCUUAACCGAGGAACUGCGCUCUAAACUACUGUGCUCGAGUGAGAUAGAGGUGAGCGGAACUUAGGGUGGAGCGGUGAAAUGCGUUGAUAUCC